UUAAGUGAAUAAGGGCGCACGGUGGAUGCCUUGGCACUAGGAGCCGAUGAAGGACGGGACUAACACCGAUAUGCUUUGGGGAGCUGUAAGUAAGCUAUGAUCCAGAGAUUUCCGAAUGGGGGAACCCAAUAUCUUUUAUAGGAUAUUACUUUUCAGUGAAUACAUAGCUGAUUAGAGGUAGACGCAGAGAACUGAAACAUCUUAGUAUCUGCAGGAAGAGAAAGAAAAUUCGAUUCCCUGAGUAGCGGCGAGCGAAACGGGAAGAGCCCAAACCAACAAGCUUGCUUGUUGGGGUUGUAGGACUCCAAUAUGGUAGUCUGUUAGUAUAGUUGAAGGAUUUGGAAAAUUCCGCUAAAGAGGGUGAAAGCCCCGUAGACGAAAUGCUAACAACACCUAGGAGGAUCCUGAGUACGGCGGAACACGAGAAAUUCCGUCGGAAUCCGCGGGGACCAUCCCGCAAGGCUAAAUACUCCCUAGUGACCGAUAGUGAACCAGUACCGUGAGGGAAAGGUGAAAAGCACCCCGGAAGGGGAGUGAAAUAGAUCCUGAAACCGUGUGCCUACAACAAGUCAAAGCUCGUUAAUGAGUGAUGGCGUGCCUUUUGUAGAAUGAACCGGCGAGUUACGAUUGCAUGCGAGGUUAAGUCGAAGAGACGGAGCCGCAGCGAAAGCGAGUCUGAAUAGGGCGAAUGAGUAUGUAGUCGUAGACCCGAAACCAUGUGAUCUACCCAUGUCCAGGUUGAAGGUGCGGUAAAACGCACUGGAGGACCGAACCCACGUACGUUGAAAAGUGCGGGGAUGAGGUGUGGGUAGCGGAGAAAUUCCAAACGAACUUGGAGAUAGCUGGUUCUCUCCGAAAUAGCUUUAGGGCUAGCCUCGGAAUUGAGAAUGAUGGAGGUAGAGCACUGUUUGGACUAGGGGCCCAUCUCGGGUUACCGAAUUCAGAUAAACUCCGAAUGCCAUUCAUUUAUAUCCGGGAGUCAGACUGCGAGUGAUAAGAUCCGUAGUCGAAAGGGAAACAGCCCAGACCACCAGCUAAGGUCCCAAAAUAUAUGUUAAGUGGAAAAGGAUGUGGGGUUGCACAGACAACUAGGAUGUUGGCUUAGAAGCAGCCACCAUUUAAAGAGUGCGUAAUAGCUCACUAGUCGAGUGACCCUGCGCCGAAAAUGUACCGGGGCUAAACAUAUUACCGAAGCUGUGGACUACACCAUUAGGUGUAGUGGUAGGAGAGCGUUCUAAGGGCGUUGAAGGUCGAUCGUGAGGACGGCUGGAGCGCUUAGAAGUGAGAAUGCCGGUAUGAGUAGCGAAAGACAGGUGAGAAUCCUGUCCACCGUAUGACUAAGGUUUCCUGGGGAAGGCUCGUCCGCCCAGGGUUAGUCGGGACCUAAGCCGAGGCCGAUAGGCGUAGGCGAUGGACAACAGGUUGAUAUUCCUGUACCAGUUGUUUUUGUUUGAGCAAUGGAGGGACGCAGUAGGCUAAGGAAUGCAUGCGAUUGGAAGUGCAUGUCCAAGCAAUGAGUCUUGAGUAGAGUUAAAUGCUUUACUCUCUAAGGACAAGUUGUGACGGGGAGCGAAAUAAUAGUAGCGAAGUUCCUGAUGUCACACUGCCAAGAAAAGCUUCUAGUGAGAAAACAACUGCCCGUACCGUAAACCGACACAGGUAGUCGAGGAGAGUAUCCUAAGGUGAGCGAGCGAACUCUCGUUAAGGAACUCGGCAAAAUGACCCCGUAACUUCGGGAGAAGGGGUGCUGACUUCGGUCAGCCGCAGUGAAUAGGCCCAAGCGACUGUUUAUCAAAAACACAGGUCUCUGCAAAAUCGUAAGAUGAAGUAUAGGGGCUGACGCCUGCCCGGUGCUGGAAGGUUAAGAGGAUGGGUUAGCUUCGGCGAAGCUCAGAAUUGAAGCCCCAGUAAACGGCGGCCGUAACUAUAACGGUCCUAAGGUAGCGAAAUUCCUUGUCGGGUAAGUUCCGACCCGCACGAAAGGCGUAACGAUUUGGGCACUGUCUCAACGAGAGACUCGGUGAAAUUUUAGUACCUGUGAAGAUGCAGGUUACCCGCGACAGGACGGAAAGACCCCAUGGAGCUUUACUGUAGUUUGAUAUUGAGUGUUUGUACCACAUGUACAGGAUAGGUAGGAGCCGAUGAGACCGGAACGCUAGUUUCGGAGGAGGCGCUGGUGGGAUACUACCCUUGUGUUAUGAACCCUCUAACCCGCACCACUAAUCGUGGUGGGAGACAGUGUCAGAUGGGCAGUUUGACUGGGGCGGUCGCCUCCUAAAAGGUAACGGAGGCGCCCAAAGGUUCCCUCAGAAUGGUUGGAAAUCAUUCGAAGAGUGUAAAGGCAGAAGGGAGCUUGACUGCGAGACCUACAAGUCGAGCAGGGACGAAAGUCGGGCUUAGUGAUCCGGUGGUUCCGCAUGGAAGGGCCAUCGCUCAACGGAUAAAAGCUACCCUGGGGAUAACAGGCUUAUCUCCCCCAAGAGUCCACAUCGACGGGGAGGUUUGGCACCUCGAUGUCGGCUCGUCGCAUCCUGGGGCUGUAGUCGGUCCCAAGGGUUGGGCUGUUCGCCCAUUAAAGCGGCACGCGAGCUGGGUUCAGAACGUCGUGAGACAGUUCGGUCCCUAUCCGUCGCGGGCGUUGGAAAUUUGAGAGGAGCUGUCCUUAGUACGAGAGGACCGGGAUGGACUUACCGCUGGUGUACCAGUUGUUCUGCCAAGGGCAUUGCUGGGUAGCUAUGUAGGGAAGGGAUAAACGCUGAAAGCAUCUAAGUGUGAAGCCCACCUCAAGAUGAGAUUUCCCAUUUCUUUAAGAAAGUAAGACCCCUGAGAGAUGAUCAGGUAGAUAGGUUGGAAGUGGAAGGCUAGUGAUAGUUGGAGCGGACCAAUACUAAUCGGUCGAGGACUUAACCAA
rnacentral:rRNA from 1 species